AAACUUACCUGGCAGGGAAAGGCUUGCCCAUUGCACUCGGGGCGUGCUGACCCCUGCGAUUUCCCCAAAUGUGGGAAACUCAACUGCAUAAUUUAUGGUAGUGGGGAAACUCAACUGUAUAAUUUAUGGUAGUGGGGGACUGCGUGCGUGCUCUCCCCUG